CGCRAGUCAAAGAAUUCUAAAUUCUAUGGCGAAAUGAAAGUGAAGGUAGACAUUGGUCUUCUUCGGUGUGAUCCUGGAUGUCUCUAGCGAUUAGGCGUCCGGGCGCAACACUGGCCCGUCUAUUAGUACUAUCAGCAUUGUACUUGUACUUUGUUGUUGUAUUAGGACGGAGCAUGAGCGUACAGGUUGAGACCCGAAAGAUGGUGAUCUAUACUUGCGGAGGUUGAAGUCAGGGGAAACUCUGAUGGAAGACCGAAGCGAUUUUGACGUGCAAAUCGAUCGUCAUAUGUGAGUAUAGGGGCGACAGACUAAUCGAACCAUCUAGUAGCUGGUUCCUGCCGAAGUUUCCCUCAGGAUAGCAGAAACUCRCAUCAGUUYUAUGAGGUAAAGCGAAUGAUUAGAGGYCUUGGGGWUGAAACAUCCUUAACCUAUUCUCAAACUUUAAAUAUGUAAGAAGUCCUUGUUACUUAAUUGAACGUGGACAUGCRAUUGAAGAGAUUUUUAGUGGGCCAUUUUUGGUAAGCAGAACUGGCGAUGCGGGAUGAACCGAUCGUGAGGUUAAGGUGCCCGGAUAUAACGCUCUUCAGACACCACACAAGGGGUUUGUUUUUUUAKACACCCCGACGSGGKCCCYAGAARUCUGRRUCUGCUAAGGRGAGUGUAACAAAACACCSSCCGNGUGWAAAAGCCCCGWGAAUAGGGGGGGAUCUAGAGUGUUACACMUACACCUCCCUCUSGGUUUAUAUGAUACSCUGACGAGUAGGCAGGCGUGGAGGUCAGUGAAGAAGCYYUGGGAGUGAUCCUGGGUGGAACGGCCUCUAGUGCAGAUCUUGGUGGUAGUAGCAAAUAUUCAA
rnacentral:rRNA from 1 species